UUUGUUUGUUUUUCUUUGAGACAGUCUCACUCUUUUGCCCAGGCUGGAGUACCGUGGCAUAAUCUUGACUCACUGCAACCUCUACCUCUCAGGCUCAAGUGAUUCUCCUGCCUCAGCCUCUGGAGUAGCUGGGACUAUAGACGUGUGUCACCACAUCUGGCAAAUUUUGUAUUUUUAGUAUAGAUGAGAUUUCACCACGUUGAUCAGGCUGGUCUUGAACUCCUGGGCUCAAGAGAUCCGCCCACCCUGGCCUCCCAAAGUGCCGGGAUUACAGUUGUCAGCCACCGCACCCAGCGACUUUUUUAUUGGGUGACCACUACAUCUGCUACUGUAAAUAGACCCUAAGGUCCAGUGAUACUACUCUAGUGGAGAAUUGGCUGCUGAUCCUGGAAGGAAACCCACCAAUUAGGCCUUGGUGAGGUAAGAAGAGCAGCUGUGAGAAUUAACAAGACCAGAGUUCUGUGCCUGGAUCCGUUCUUCAUCUAUGGGUGACCUCACAAGUCCUCUGCCUCAAUUCUGUCACCGAAAGAAUGACCAUUUUACCUGGUCAGGCCCUGGCAUCGGGUAAGCCUCGGAUCAAAUCUCAUCUCCAUCACUUGUCAGGGAAAAUCCUUAACCAAGGAGCAAGGCAUCUGUCUUUACCAAGGUCAGCCAACCCACUGGCACCAAGACAUCCUUUCCACCACCCCCGACUUGCUGCAGGGCUCAGAUUUCAUCAAGUCCUCUUUAUCAAGUUCCUAUUACAAGGCAGGCAUAGUUAUGCAGAAGAAGAACCAGACAAGGCUGGAGGCAAGACAUGUUUUCCCACCCUGCACCCAUGGCUGAACACAGCAUUGGUCCUCUUCCCCAGAGGUGUCACAUCCCACCAGUCACGCUGCCAUUGAGAUAGGCAAAACCUGGUCCCAGGUGAGGGUGAUGGAGCAAUGUGUAUCUCAUCUCCAGCCAUGCUGAUAACUCCCAGCUCACAGCCAAGGGCGCUCACCUCUCACUGACAACCCCUGCAAGAGACCCCAGAGCCAGUGUGUGUUGGAGGAGCUGAUCCUCUGCUCACUAGAAGGGUUUCCUCCUGGCUGCUCUUCAGCCUCACAACCGCACCCCUGCCCCAGCCUAGCCUCUCUUCCAGGGAGGAGACUGGCA
rnacentral:lncRNA from 10 species